AUCAGGCCUCAGCUGGCCCUAUAAAGGGGAUGUGAGCCAGGAGCUGAGGGGUCUCACUCUAGCCUAGGAGCGGGAAGGCCUGCCUGGGAGCAAGAUUACUGCGUGUUGGCAACAGACUCGGGGGAAGCUGAGACUGCACUGCUCCUCCGAGCAGCGAGCUGACUUGAAUGAAGGUGACGGCUCUAACGAGCUGCUAGGAGACUGUCCCACUCCCCCGUGGUGGAUGACGACCAACCUCCAUGAUUCAUGCUGUUGUCACUUCUUGGCUGGAGUACAGCAGUGUGACAGACCUGGGCAUGAAGCCUUCAGCGCCUGGGGACUUGCAGUGGGAACAGAACUCUGCAAGGCGUCUCCUUAGCAGCCUGGGGCUGCCGUGAGUGCAUCACACCUGUUUCUGCUCCCUACGUCGGCAAGCCAUUGAAUAUAAAUCAAGUUCAUGGUCUCUGUUCAAGGCACUCCAUGGCCGGGUUCCAGGGUAUCAGAUAGAGCCUACAGCUCCAGGACACAGACCACAGUUGACAAAUCUGCUCGUCUGGCCCAACUGAACUCUCCACAAUGGGGGUAAAGCUCGUCUGUGCAGGAGACUGAGCUCUUCCUCGGGGGCCAGUCCCAGGCUGUGGAAUGAAACGCCUGGAACAAAGGGCCAUCCCAAACCUGCCCACCUGCGCUCCCAGUGUGAGGCACAUUUCUCUGACCUUCCUCUUCUUGCAUCAACACAGAGCAACAAGUGUGUCUAAAAAAGCAUUUCUCUUUUUCAGGAGAUGAACCUGGCCACAAACAAACACCCCACCCCAGCACCCUACCCAGCGGAGAUGCUUCAAUCUCCACUUCUCCCCCCGGGGAGAGAAGAGAGAACAAGUGGGUGACAGCUUGGUAGUCAUGUCACGUAAUGCUCAGACACUGCAGUGACGAAUGUGGUAUAAGAACAGGUAGAGAACAGAACCUGGGGAAAGCCACUUCACUUUCAUGUGCCUCAGUUUCCCCAUUUGUAAAACAGGGAUCCUGAUGGGGCAGCAGAAGUGUGGGGCCACAGUCACCAAUGUAGAGAAUGUUUCUUAAUGUCCUUGGAUCAAAGAUGCUCUAGGAACAAAGGAUUCUUUUGGGAAAUCGUCUGAAUGGGAGUUUGACACCAACACUUGGCCCAUUGUUAGCUAGCAGUAUCUGGCCAUCAUUAAUUAACUGUCCUGGGGUGGUUCAGCCAGGAAACGGCAUAGGGCAAUUGGAGCUAGGCCCAUCCUGAUGCUUGUGAGAUGACCAAGCCCAGCCAGUCCACUGGCAGAUGGUGUGUCCAAGAGUGGGUGUGCUCAAGUCUGUUUUCAGGAGCCAGCCAACGGUGUAACUACAGUCCCCUAAUGUAGACAGGCCAAACCACGCUGAACAGGGAUUCACUUUCCUUUCCCUGCUCUUUGGAACUAGGCUCAGCCACCCUGGGUGCAAAUCAAAGCUCACAGUAGUUCUGCUUCUCUAGCCCACCACCACCCAACUCCUUUCUAGCUUUUUUUUAUCCAGAGCCUUUAUGAAGAAGGCCACUAUCACUAUCCCCACAGCUGGGGAAACUGAGGCCCAGAGCCUGUCAAAGGUCACCCAGCGGGCCACUGGGCAGAACCAGGACUAGAACCCAACUAUCCUGGGGAAACUGAAGCACAGAAAGGGGAAGUGAAGUCACUCAGAGGCAAAGCUGGGACUAGAACUCCCAGGGCCCCACUCUAGCUACUAGACCACACUCCUUCUAGAGUGUGGAACAAAACCCUGAGAUCCUGCUUCAGAGCAGACCACACUGUCUCCUUCCCUAAUGAACAUCGUUUGGGUGACUUCACAAUCAGUGAGCAAACACUAACAAUGCCUAGCUUUUAUAUACCAUUUUUGGUCAGUCUAUAGGCUCUUUACAAAGGAGGUCAGACUCCCUAUACAGAUAGGGAAACUGAGGCACAGAGCGGUGAAGUGACUCUCCUCAGGUCCCCCAGCAGGAAGUGACUUUGGGCCAGAUGUUCAGCAGGUGUAAAUGGGUGCCACUCUGCUGAUGGUGAUGGAGCUAUUCCCAUUUACACCAGCUAAGGAUCGGGCCCUUCCUUUGCUGCGGCGCUUGCCCUUUUGCACACAGGCCUGUCUUGGGCUAAUGGCUGGGGAACGGCGGCAGUGGGGUGGGAGGGGUGCCAAGGGGGCUUACGGGCCAGUUGGAGCGCCAGAUGUUCAGCACUUCAGAGAGCCAGACCUGGUGAGAUCUGAUUACUGCAAGAGCUGCUCCUGAGCUCCCUUUAAAGCCAUGCCUGAGAACAGCCACACAGCUUGUUAUUUAAUGAUCAAUUGUAGUGCUGGUGCCAGCAUGCUCCAGGGGGAGCACAAGGAUGGAAGCUAUGGAAACCAGGGGGAGGGAUAGGCCCAGGGGAGCAGCGAGGGUGGUGCAUAGUGAAUUGGGCCAAGAGAGCAGUGACGUGGCAGAGGUGGAAUGGAGGGACAGGUGUGACGUAGGGGGGAAUCAUGCAGAGGAAUGGGGUGGGGGCUGCAGGUAGGGGAGUAGAUGAAGUGGACAGAGAAUCAAGCUCUGAGAAGUGGUGGGAGUGUGGGGCAGGCUCAAGGGAAGGGGAUCUUGCAGGACCCAGUUUCAAACCCUCCACCUCCAGUGGGUGGUUGCACAGAACACUGGGUGGAGAGGUUUUGUUUCUGGAUAAAUUGCAGGGGCCGGUCCCCUCUCUCCAAACCCUGAGGGGCAUUGCUUCCGUCUCUCUCCCUGGCUGGCUUCUCUGAGCAGGGUGGGGUGCAGCGCUUGCUCUGGGGAUGGGCUGCAAAGUGGGGUGCUCUCAGCUGGCACAGGGUUCAGAGCCACGUGCACAGUCGAUGGUGACAUACCCUCCCCAUAAACACCAACGCUGUGUCUUCUCUGGCACCUUCCGGCUGGGAAUCCUGGCCAUUAGUUAAUUAACCCUCUUGUCACGUCAGUAUUGCCCCCUAUAGCCAAAUGGGGAAACUGAGGCCAAGGGUGGGGCUGUGAGCUGCCCAAGAUCACAUGGUGUCCUGACUCCCAGCUCCUUCCUCUCCUAUAGUCACUAGCCCCCUCUUCCCACCGACAGCUGGGAAUAGAACCCAGGAGUCUUGACACCCAGCCCCCACUGCUCUAACUGCUAGACCCCACUCCCCUUCCACAGCUGGGAAUAGAACCAAGGAGUUCUCGCUCCCAGCCCUGAUGCUCUAACCACUAGCUAGUACUAUAAACCUGGGCUUUUCCUCAUGCCUUGUGAAGCUCAUCUGGUUCCAUGUCGCGUGUCCCUCCAGGAGGAUGUGAGAAUGGAUGAUACAUGAGCACUGUGCCUCCCAGCUGCCCAAGCCCAUGUUUGCUAACAUGCCUCCUCACCGCGAUGCCUCUCCCAAGGCGGGCGGGGGAGACGGGAGCAGGCUCAGACGCCAUAACAGGAAUAGUAAUGAGGCCGGUGUCUGCAGGGGUGGCAAGGAACCUUCCCAGGGAUCUGGCUCCCCAGCUCCAUGAUCCAGUAUCUGCUGACAGCGCCCCCUGGCCCAGCACUGGCCAGGGGGAGCUCUACAGAUUUGGGAGCUCAAGGAGCACUUGAGUCAAUUCUUACAGGCCCUCCUCCCACUGUGGGUUGCACUGGAGAGCAGGGACCCGUAGCUAGCU